UACGUAGGGACCGAGCGUUGUCCGGAAUCAUUGGGCGUAAAGAGCGUGUAGGCGGCUAUUUAAGUCCUGCGUGAAAUCCUGCGGCUCAACCGCAGACGGUCGUGGGAAACUGGACGGCUAGAGUGCGGGAGAGGAGAGUGGAAUUCCCGGUGUAGCGGUGAAAUGCGCAGAUAUCGGGAAGAACACCCGUGGCGAAGGCGGCUCUCUGGAACGCAACUGACGCUGAGACGCGAAAGCGUGGGGAGCAAACAGG
rnacentral:rRNA from 1 species